rnacentral:lncRNA from 1 species
CUAGUCUUAAGGUGAACUCUUCUGUUAGAGUUAAAUGGCAUUUUGUGAUUUUUAUUUUUUAUCUUUCUAUUUCUUAACAUUUUUUCUAUGCGAUUCAUUUUUUUCCCUUUCUCAUAUGCACUCAACAAUUCAGAUAUUCAACAGCAUGUCAUUAAUUGGAUGAAAGAUGCAUACGUAAGUAGAAAAGAUGCUAGAUAGAACUCUCACACUAUACUUUUGAAUUUUUUUUCAAUUGAGUUAUUUUAUUCCACUUCUUGGUAAAGAAACAAACUAAAGUAGAGUACUUAAUAAUACAAUGAAAUAUUUAUACAAAAUAUCUCUCCUACUAAUUUUAGGAUUUGUGGUAUCAAAGGCAUCUCCCUCCACAACAAACAUUAAUUAGUGCUACAAAGUUUAUAAUCAUGGAUGGUAUUUUUCUGAUAAUUAGGAGGGCAUUAAGUUUGCUCAAUAGAAAUCCUCCUAUUAUAUGGUAAUACCCUUAACAUUAACCUUUAAUUUAUGGUUUGGUAUGUGCCAAAUAAGGAUAAACCACUUACUAGAUAUCCAUCAAAUAAGGAAAACCACUUACUAGAUAACAUUAAUUACAUUGCCAAUUUAUCCCCUACCCUUUUCACUAUAAAUACACAUAAUUACCCACUACAAUGUACACCCUAAAAACAC